AUGUGCCAGGCACUGUUCUAGGUGCAGGAGACUCAGGGUGAACAGAAUAGGCAGGAUCCCUGCUCCUACAGGGCUGACGUUCUAGGAAGACAAAGGAAGACAAAGAACAGGAGAAUAGCAGGGCUUGAAUUCACAACCCUGACAUCAAGAUCUGAGUCUCCAGAUCCAGAUAUGGAACAUCUUUAUCCCUCCAGAAAUUUUCUUCAUACUUCUCCAG